rnacentral:rRNA from 1 species
UACGAAGGGUGCAACCGUUGCUCGGAAUUAUUGGGCGUAAAGCGCACGUAGGCGGCUUAGCAAGUCGGAUGUGAAAUCCCUCGGCUCAACCAAGGAAGUGCAUCCGAAACUGCUGAGCUUGAGUACUUAAGAGGAUCGCGGAAUUCCCGGUGUAGAGGUGAAAUUCGUAGAUAUCAGGAGGAACACCGAUGGCGAAGGCAGGUCUCUGGGCAUUAACUGACGCUGAGGAGCGAAAGCAUGGGGAGCGAACAGG